ACAUGUGGUGUGAGUCAAUUUUAGUUCAUUAAUUUCACCAAGCAAAGACCCACAAGAAACACAUGGUAAAGAGGCAUUUAACUUCAACAAAGCAAUUUCAUCUCUAGCCUGAUCAAGAUCAUUAUUUAAAGCUACGCAAGAAUUGCAAGGCAUAGAGGCAUUGAAUUUCAACAAGUCAUUUUCACAUUUCAUGCAAUCAAGAGAAGAGUUCAAUUCAUCAUUCUUUCUAAGCAAGGCAUCACAAGAAUUGCAAGGAUUUAAAGCAUGUGACUUCCAAUGAGCAAUUCCACAUUUCAACCUAGCAAGAGAACAUUUCAUCUUCUCAUUCUUCCUACGCAAAGCAUCACAAAGCUCUAUGUUU
rnacentral:lncRNA from 1 species